CUAUACAUGCAAGUCGAGCGGACAGAUGGGAGCUUGCUCCCUGAUGUUAGCGGCGGACGGGUGAGUAACACGUGGGUAACCUGCCUGUAAGACUGGGAUAACUCCGGGAAACCGGGGCUAAUACCGGAUGGUUGUUUGAACCGCAUGGUUCAGACAUAAAAGGUGGCUUCGGCUACCACUUACAGAUGGACCCGCGGCGCAUUAGCUAGUUGGUGAGGUAACGGCUCACCAAGGCAACGAUGCGUAGCCGACCUGAGAGGGUGAUCGGCCACACUGGGACUGAGACACGGCCCAGACUCCUACGGGAGGCAGCAGUAGGGAAUCUUCCGCAAUGGACGAAAGUCUGACGGAGCAACGCCGCGUGAGUGAUGAAGGUUUUCGGAUCGUAAAGCUCUGUUGUUAGGGAAGAACAAGUGCCGUUCAAAUAGGGCGGCACCUUGACGGUACCUAACCAGAAAGCCACGGCUAACUACGUGCCAGCAGCCGCGGUAAUACGUAGGUGGCAAGCGUUGUCCGGAAUUAUUGGGCGUAAAGGGCUCGCAGGCGGUUUCUUAAGUCUGAUGUGAAAGCCCCCGGCUCAACCGGG
rnacentral:rRNA from 1 species